GACAGAGGAUGCAAGCGUUAUCCGGAAUGAUUGGGCGUAAAGCGUCUGUAGGUGGCUUUUUAAGUCCGCCGUCAAAUCCCAGGGCUCAACCCUGGACAGGCGGUGGAAACUACCAAGCUGGAGUACGGUAGGGGCAGGAGGGAAUUUCCGGUGGAGCGGUGAAAUUCGUAGAUAUUCGCAAGAACACCAGUGGCGAAGGCGGCUCACUGGCCCGAUACUGACGCUGAGGUGCGAAAGCGUGGGGAGCAAACA
rnacentral:rRNA from 1 species